GGGGCUGUAGCUCAGUGGCAGAGCACUUGCCUAGCAUGCAUGAGGCAUUGGGUUCGAUCCUCAGCACCA
rnacentral:tRNA from 1 species